UUGACAGAAGAGAGUGAGC
rnacentral:siRNA from 1 species